rnacentral:rRNA from 1 species
CAAUAGCGUAUAUUAAAGUUGUUGCAGUUAAAAAGCUCGUAGUUGGAUUUCUGAGAGGAUGCCAAUGUCCUUCUGUGUAAGUGUGCAGCGGCGUCUUUUCAUCCUUCUGUUAACACCUCUUGGCAUUCGUUUGCUGGUGGUGGGCUCAGAUAUUUUACCUUGAGAAAAUUAGAGUGUUUCAGGCAGGCUAGGCCGGAAUACAUUAGCAUGGAAUAAUGGAAUAGGACUACGGUCUCUUUGUUGGUUUGAGGGACUGCAGUAAUGAUUAAUAGGGAUAGUUGGGGGCAUUAGUAUUUAAUUGCCAGAGGUGGAAUUCUCGGAUUUGUUAAAGACUAACUUAUGCGAAAGCAUUUGCCAAGGAUGUUUUCAUUAA